GCUCCAGCACUCACCAUGUUCCAUACACACCUGCUGGUUUUGCUCUUAUCAGCUGCAUCAUGUAUCAACUGUAUUGAGCUGACUCAGCCCGGAUCCAUGGUUCUAACACCUGGUCAGUCGAUGUCCCUGACCUGUAAAGUUUCUGGAUAUUCAGUGACUGAUAGCAGCUACUGUACAGACUGGAUACGGCAGCCUGCAGGAAAAGCUCUGGAGUGGAUUGGAGAUAUAUGUGGUAAUGGUAACACUUACUACAGUGAUAAACUGAAAAGCAGGUUUCAGGUUUCUCGAGACACGUCCACCAGCACAGUGACCUUAAGAGGACAGAAUCUGCAGAUUGGAGACACAGCUGUGUAUUACUGUGCACGGCACUCACAGUGA